AAACUUUCAACAACGGAUCUCUUGGUUCUGGCAUCGAUGAAGAACGCAGCGAAAUGCGAUAAGUAAUGUGAAUUGCAGAAUUCAGUGAAUCAUCGAAUCUUUGAACGCACAUUGCGCCCUUUGGUAUUCCGAAAGGGCAUGCCUGUUCGAGCGUCAUUA
rnacentral:rRNA from 1 species